UAAUGAUUCUCAUGCUGAAAUUAUUGCUCGACGAGCUUUGUUAAGGUGUUUUUGGACUUUUGGAGAAGAUUGAAGCAUCAAACUUGUAUUGGAGUAUUUUAUGAAGAAAUAUUUGGGAUUUUGAAUGUUUUAAAUUUGUUUUUUAAUAGGAUGUUUGUUAUGUAAGAGGCUAAGAGUUGUGUAAUUGUAUCUUAUGAUCAUAUUGUUGUUUUAGAGAUAAUUUUUAUCCUUUGUUUAAAAUAAUCAUAUGGAGGCAAGGAUGCAUGGAAGAACUUGAAUAA